rnacentral:rRNA from 1 species
UACGAAGGGUGCUAGCGUUGUUCGGAAUCAUUGGGCGUAAAGCGUGCGUAGGCGGCUUAGCAAGUCAGCUGUGAAAGCCCGGGGCUUAACCCCGGAAUUGCAGUUGAAACUGCUUCGCUAGAGUAUGAAGAGGGAUAGUGGAAUUCUUAGUGUAGGGGUGAAAUCCGUAGAUAUUAAGAGGAACACCGGUGGCGAAAGCGACUAUCUAUGUCAUUACUGACGCUGUUGCACGAAAGCGUGGGGAGCAAACAGG